rnacentral:rRNA from 1 species
GACGAACGCUGGCGGCGUGCUUAACACAUGCAAGUCGAACGAAGUGGCGAACGGGUGAGUAACGCGUAAUCAACCUGCCGUUCAGAGGGGGACAACAGUUGGAAACGACUGCUAAUACCGCAUACUGAAGGAGGGGAUUGCGUCUGAUUAGCUAGUUGGGGGGGUAACGGCCCACCAAGGCGAUGAUCAGUAGCCGGUCUGAGAGGAUGAACGGCCACACUGGGACUGAGACACGGCCCAGACUCCUACGGGAGGCAGCAGGUGGGAAUCUUCCGAAAUGGAGGAAAGUCUGACGGAGCAAAGCCGCGUGAGUGAUGACGGCCUUCGGGGUGUAAAGCUCUGUUAAUCGGGACGCGGUACCGGAAGAGAAAGCCACGGCUAACUACGUGCCAGCAGCCGCGGUAAUAC